GAGGAGGGGGUUCUCCCCCGCUCGGAGCGCGCGGCUGGGGAAGAAGCUGGCGGGAAGCCGGGCCGCGCGCCGAGGAAUCGAUGAUUCGGCCUGUGGGCCGGGUCACUGCGGCGGGGCCCGGGGAGCGCCGAUAGCAUGGAUAGGCUCAGAGGGGCGCAGGGUUUUGGCGGCUUCCCGAGUUCCCCUCGCCGACCGCCAUGUCACAUCUUACGGAAGAGGCGGGGGCUGCCGCGGAGAGGAUAUUUUUUGUUUUGUUUUGUUUUCACAAGAAUCACCUGGAUGCUUCUAAAGAGGAUGUCUACCAGACCCCAUGCCGCACUAAUUAGCUCAGAAGUGGGAACCCUUCAUAAGAUGUAAGCUACUAUACCAGCACUAUGCCUGCCUACCUGCUGCCACAUUCCUUGUCAUGAUAACCAUGGACUAAGCCUCUGAAACUCAUCCAGGCACUGAAGCUCUGGAAGCCCAGCGAGGACAACUCAGACUCAGGAGACAGAGGACUCUGUAGAAGAGGUGUUCCAGGGCCUGGGUGCCACCAGCCAGCUCCGCUAGAAGAAUGCUGUGAGAACAGGCUGGCACUGAGCUGGAGUGGCCAUCGUCACAAGGGUACCACCUGAAGGGUGGGCAGAGGGCCUCGGGGAGGAGCCACAUACUCUUCCUCCC
ensembl:processed_transcript E130307A14Rik RIKEN cDNA E130307A14 gene